GCUUCCGGAAGGAAGGGGUAGGAUUGGGGGUGGGGGAGCUUCUCCAUUACCCUCCUUAGUAUGCCAGCUGGAGACAAGCUUAGAGUGAUCUCCAAAGCCACGACUGGGUUUGCCCCAGGAUGACUACUCGGUCCUAUUUGAAGACACCUCCUAUGCAGACGGCUAUUCCCCUCCCCUCAAUGUAGCUCAGAGGUACGUGGUGGCUUGUAAGGAGCCCAAGAAAAUGUGACGCUGCCCGGCGGACUCACCAUCCCCCAACGACACAGGGCAGGACAGCAGAGGAUGUGCUGGGAUUAAACAGACAUUCCUCCUCCA